rnacentral:rRNA from 1 species
GAAACAGUUGCUAAGACAGGAUAGGAAAUUAAGAGGCAUCUUUUAAUUUUUAAAAGACCUUUUUCGAAAGGUAUACUUAAAGAGGGGCUUGCGCCACAUUAGUUAGUUGGUAAGGUAAAGGCUUACCAAGACGAUGAUGUGUAGCUGGACUGAGAGGUCGAACAGCCACAUUGGGACUGAGACACGGCCCAAACUCCUACGGGAGGCAGCAGUAAGGAAUUUUUGGCAAUGGAGGAAACUCUGACCGAGCGACGUCGCGUGAACAAUGAAGUACUUCGGUAUGUAAAGUUCUUUUUAUUGAAAAAAGAAAAAAAUAGUGGAAAAACUAUCUUGACAUUAUUUCAAUGAAUAAGCCCCGGCUAAUUAUGUGCCCAGCAGCCGCGGUAAUACAUAAGGGGCGAGCGUUAUCCGGAAUUAUUGGGCGUAAAGGGUGCGUAGGCGGUUUGAUAAGUCUAUAGUUUAAAUGCAGUGCUUAACGCUGUAGCGCUAUAGAAACUGUCUGACUAGAGUUAGAUAGAGGCAAGCGGAAUUCCAUGUGUAGCGGUAAAAUGCGUAAAUAUAUGGAGGAACACCAGAGGCGUAGGCGGCUUGCUGGGUCUUAACUGACGCUGAGGCACGAAAGCGUGGGGAGCAAACAGGAUUAGAUACCCUGGUAGUCCACGCCGUAAACGAUGAGUACUAAGUGUCGGGUUUCGGCUCGGUACUGAAGUUAACACAUUAAGUACUCCGCCUGAGUAGUACGUACGCAAGUAUGAAACUUAAAGGAAUUGACGGGACCCCGCACAAGCGGUGGAUCAUGUUGUUUAAUUCGAAGAUACACGAAAAACCUUACCAGGUCUUGACAUAAUUUUGCGACAUUAUAGAAAUAUAAUGAAGGUUAUCAGAAUUACAGGUGGUGCAUGGUUGUCGUCAGCUCGUGUCGUGAGAUGUUAGGUUAAGUCCUAAAACGAGCGCAACCCUUGUCGUUAGUUGCGACCACGUAAUGGUGAGCACUUUAGCGAGACUGCCAAUGAAAAAUUGGAGGAAGGUGAGGAUUACGUCAAAUCAUCAUGCCCCUUAUGAUCUGGGCUACAAACGUGAUACAAUGGCUGUUACAAAGAGUAGCUACAACGUGAGUUUUUAGCCAAUCUCAAAAAAACAGUCUCAGUUCGGAUUGAAGUCUGCAACUCGACUUCAUGAAGUUGGAAUCGCUAGUAAUCGCGAAUCAGCAUGUCGCGGUGAAUACGUUCUCGGGGUUUGUACACACCGCCCGUCA